rnacentral:rRNA from 1 species
GGUAAUACCUGAUGAUCCCGACGGGUCGCAUGAGCUGUCGGGCAAAGCUCCGGCGGCUGGGGAUCGGCCCAUGGCCUAUCAGCUUGUUGGUGAGGUAAUGGCUCACCAAGGCAACGACGGGUAGCGGGCGUGAGAGCGUGACCCGCCACAUCGGGACUGAGACACUGCCCGGACACCUACGGGUGGCUGCAGCAACGAAUAUUCCGCAAUGGGCGAAAGCCUGACGGAGCGACGCCGCGUGUGGGAUGAAGUCCUUCGGGAUGUAAACCACUGUCAGGGGUUAGAAAGAUCUGAUCAGCCCCACAGGAAGCCUCGACUAACUCCGUGCCAGCAGUCGCGGUAAUACGGAGGAGGCAAGCGUUGUUCGGAAUUACUGGGCUUAAAGCGCGUGUAGGCGGAUGGGUAAGUGUCAAGUGAAAGCCCCCGGCUCAACCGGGGAACUGCUAGGCAAACUGCUCGUCUUGAGGCAGGUAGGGGUGCAUGGAACUCUAGGUGGAGCGGUGAAAUGCGUAGAUAUCUAGAGGAACGCCGGUGGCGAAAGCGGUGCACUGGGCCUGUUCUGACGCUGAGACGCGAAAGCGUAGGGAGCGAACGGGAUUAGAUACCCCGGUAGUCUACGCCGUAAACGAUGCGCACUAGGCUCGAGGAACUCUGACGUUUUUCGGGCCGGAAGAAAACCGAUAAGUGCGCCGCCUGGGGAGUACGGCCGCAAGGCUAAAACUCAAAGGAAUUGACGGGGGCUCACACAAGCGGUGGAGCAUGUGGAUUAAUUCGAAGCAACGCGAAGAACCCUACCUGGGUUUGACAUGCCUGGAUGCGUCCCUUGAAAGAGGGAGCCGUUGCCCUUUGGGUGAAACAGGCACAGGUGCUGCAUGGCUGUCGUCAGCUCGUGCUGUGAAGUGUCGGGUUAAGUCCCUUAACGAGCGAAACCCUUAUCGCUAGUUGCCAGCGGGUCAUGCCGGGGACUCUAGCGAGACUGCCGGUGUCAAACCGGAGGAAGGUGGGGAUGACGUCAAGUCCUCAUGGCCUUUACGCCCAGGGUGUCACACGUGCUACAAUGGGGUGAACAGAGCGAAGCGAGCCGGCGACGGGGAGCAAAUCGCAGAAAUCACCUCUCAGUUCGGAUUGGAGUCUGCAAUUCGACUCCAUGAAGUUGGAAUCGCUAGUAAUCGCGUAUCAGCCACGACGCGGUGAAUAUGUUCCUGAGCCUUGUACACACCGCCCGUCAAGUCAUGGAAGCUGGGAGCACCCGAAGUCCGCUUAGUCAACCC